rnacentral:rRNA from 1 species
UACGGAGGGAGCAAGCGUUACUCGGAAUUAUUGGGCGUAAAGGGCGCGUAGGCGAUCUGACAAGUUCUGUGUGAAAGCCCACAUGUUAACUGUGGAAGUGCACCGAAAACUGUUGGAUUUGAGUUCAGGAGAGGAAGGCAGAAUUCCCGGUGUAGCGGUGAAAUGCGUAGAGAUCGGGAGGAAUACCAGUGGCGAAGGCGGCCUUCUGGACUGACACUGACGCUGAGGCGCGAAAGCCAGGGGAGCAAACGGG